GCGGGGAUAGAGCUGAGCAUCAGCUGCUCAGAGGUUCCGGAGAGUACUGUCGUGCUAGCCUUGUCAUCUGCGUCAGAGCAGUCCCUGCCACACAAGAAGUAUGUACACCAGCAAGGAAAAGGCCAACUGCAGGAACAAUGGCUAGUGAGCAACGUGGAAACAUCCUCCAGGGCUGGACUGCAGAAUCACUUCAGAACGAAAACCUGGCAUUCAAAGGUAUCAUGGAGACCCUUUAUAGCUGAGGAUGUAUUUUCGAACUUCACAAAGAAAUCAAAACAGGCGCCCCAAUACCAGAGGCAGAGUUAAGCCCUCAGCAUAAGUUGAAGGCUAAAGAAGUCUUCAGCCAAUCACUUGCCAUAAAGAAUCAGGGAAGCCCAAAAUACUCCCACUGAUAACACAGCUCUCCAUGGCGACA